CUUUUCACUCGAAUAAGAAUAAGAAUAAGAACUUAUUCUGAUUCUUAUUCUUAUUCGAGUGAAAAG
rnacentral:miRNA from 1 species